ensembl:lncRNA
UUUAGGCAGAGUUCUUAGGAUGUAUUUUUGUUCACCUGAAAAAUAAAACUUUUAAAAAAUAUACAGGACUUUUUGAGUACAGGUAUAUCUUAAAUGGCUGAAUUAUAAAUAAUGUCUCUGGUCAUGUUCACAGCUAGGGCUGGAGCAAAUGUCCCAAUUCCAGUGAAGGCUUUGGAGAGUCAGGAGGCCAGCAGCUGGAACUAUGAGUGGCCUCUCUAGACUCUCUGAUCCAUCCCAAAGAGGAUUUAAACAGUCCAGAAAGCAGGGAUCAGGAAGAGGACAGGGAAGUGGACUCCCAGAUGUUCUAUAAGUUCAAAGGAUUCUUGGAAUAAGAGAUCAAUUUACAAAUUAUUAAAAUAUAGGACUAAAAAUUCACACAGUAAAUAUAAAUUACAGGCUAUUAUUGAAGUUAUAAAGUGGCAUUUUAUGUUUCUUCCCUGUCUCACACCAAAAAUGUAAAGGCCUCACAGGCUUCCCAAUGACUGAAGUCCUAGUCAGCUGCUAAGAAAUCUGCUAUAGCCAAGAGACCCUGGAGGUGCUACCAGCCUGCUGGUAGGCUGUGACAGCUCCGUUGCUAUUAUCGUGCCCACAACAGGACAUGGCUUAAAGCAAGGCUGCUGUCCUGUAAACUUGGCUCAGAGCUAACCAGAGUAUAGGCCAGAAAACUGGAGAGACAAACUGUUUCAGGACUCAGGUGGGUAAGUUGUCUUUUUUUUAAAAAAAUAGUGCCUCAUUUCCCAAAAAGGAAACACUAAGGGGUUUGAUAUCUCAUCACUACCCACACUCAAUUGCCUAAAAGCAAGUGGCAGAAGGAAAUGGAAUCCAAAUUGACGAAGUCUAGUUCUUGCUACCCCAGAGCUACACACGUCCACAUAUUUCUCUUGAUGUUUCUCAUCUCCUUUAUACAAUUACAGGCUGCAUUUAUGUAGGGCUUCUCAGGAAAGGUAAAGACAGCCAAUUUAACCUUCCCUUGGCUAGUCUAUUAGCUGGCUCUCAAAGCACAAUCCUGAGUUUCAGUGAAGCCCACCUUCCAGCCUUUCUGAUUCUGUAUCACUCUACUUACAAAAGCUUGCUCUUCCUAAAAGAAUUCUGUGAGGGGAAGGCCAGGAUUGAAGCACAGCAGCAUUGCUCUUUCCCUUCCUUCCUCCCUGGCCCAUAUUCAGAUACUGAGGGCUGCAACAAGCCUCUUUGGUGGGGGCACUAGGAUGGAAAGAGGGGAUGAGUACAUUCCCCACCCCCCUAAAUUGCUUCUACUUCUCCUAAGGCUUUCCACAGCCACAUCAACAGUCUAAGAAUGCUUAUACUCUUUUGUGAAAGAACGUCAUAAACUUAUAUUUCAGAAAUAGGAGGGGAACAGGAGAAAGUGAGUGAUUUAAGAAGCCGUGUUUGUGCCCUUCCGGCCAGGUGUACUUCGGGGGACAGCAAAUAGCCCUUGCUUGACCCCUUCAGUCAGUAGCUACCCAGGGUGUGGGAGGAUAUACAUAGAAUUCUAUGUGAUUAUAGCUUCUAGUGCAUAUGUCAACAACUAUAUACAGGGAUCUAGAAAUUUAAUGCAUCUCUGGCCACUGCAACUAGGUUGACGUACCUGAGCUCCACUACUUUUGGUGCCCUCCUCCUUUCGAGAGCUUCAGCUUACUUAAAAAGAGCCCCUACAGCUCCAUCCUUCCCCUGAGUCUUAGGGGAAAGCCCCAGUCAUCCC